UACGUAGGGUGCAAGCGUUGUCCGGAAUUAUUGGGCGUAAAGAGCUCGUAGGCGGUUUGUCGCGUCGAAUGUGAAAUCCCGGGGCUCAACCCCGGGUCUGCAUUCGAUACGGGCAGACUAGAGUUCGGUAGGGGAGUCUGGAAUUCCUGGUGUAGCGGUGAAAUGCGCAGAUAUCAGGAGGAACACCGGUGGCGAAGGCGGCAUCCUGGACCGACAUUGACGCUGAGGCGCGAAAGCCAGGGGAGCAAACGGG
rnacentral:rRNA from 1 species